rnacentral:lncRNA from 1 species
AGAAACAUUUGAAAGAUUUAAAAGAUUUAUCUUUUUUCUUGAAGAGUUGCUUUAAAUAAUAGCAAUUCAAGAGUUAAUCUUAGAGCCAGAGUUGCUCGGUCCUUUUUUUUUGCGCGCUGAAAAUGGGUUUUCAUACAAUACGUGUACGAAUAUAUUCAAUAAAAUCAAAAAACACUAACUCGCGGAGUGCCAAUGGCAGCUUCUUCUUUUCCGACCAAAGGUGAAUGAUAAGCUGCAAAGGCAGCCAUUUAGUUAGUCACCCUAUUGGCUUCUCU